AAUAGAUACCCUGGUAGUCCACGCCGUAAACGAUGAGUGCUAAGUGUUAGAGGGUUUCCGCCCUUUAGUGCUGAAGUUAACGCAUUAAGCACUCCGCCUGGGGAGUACGGCCGCAAGGCUGAAACUCAAAGGAAUUGACGGGGGCCCGCACAAGCGGUGGAGCAUGUGGUUUAAUUCGAAGCAACGCGAAGAACCUUACCAGGUCUUGACAUCCUCUGACAACCCUAGAGAUAGGGCUUCUCCUUCGGGAGCAGAGUGACAAGUGGUGCAUGGUUGUCGUCAGCUCGUGUCGUGAGAUGUUGGGUUAAGUCCCACAACGAGCGCAACCCUUGAUCUUAGUUGCCAUCAUUAAGUUGGGCACUCUAAGGUGACUGCCGGUGACAAACCGGAGGAAGGUGGGGAUGACGUCAAAUCAUCAUGCCCCUUAUGACCUGGGCUACACACGUGCUACAAUGGACGGUACAAAGAGCUGCAAGACCGCGAGGUGAGCUAAUCUCAUAAAACCGUUCUCAAUUCGGA
rnacentral:rRNA from 1 species